GAUUUUCUCAAAAUCCGUGCAUCAAACUCAAAAUCCGUCAGCGCCAGUAGUUCCAGAAUAGCUGAAUCCUUCGAAAUGAGCUAUUGGACUGCUAUGAACGGGGUCCGAUACGCACCAGAAGCCAACUCUACUCCGUGGCCUCUCCGGAAAACCGGAGUUACUAUUCACUUAAGUGAAAACUAAUAAUCGUGUAUCUUCUCCGUUUUAGCUCAUUUUCUCCUGAAACUUGACGAGUGCUUAUGUAAUUAAAUUACACACAUAAACAUCGUCAACAGAGAGUUUAGUAGCACUGAAAAAAUCUCAGUCCUUACACAUAACUAAAAUUAAAUUUAGAUUUAAUUAAUUUUGUUCCCACUUAGGAAUAAGUUUAUUUUAGGAAAAAAUGUAGAACGACAGUUUCAGACUUAUAUUGGAUUAUACUAGCUUAUUACAGGACUCCGAGAACUAUUAUUCUCGGGUAUGAAAACUUAUGUUUGGGAACAAAGGGAGGAACGAGCUUAUUCCAUUUCUUGUUCCCGAACCAAACGCUGUCCUAGAAUAGGCGUAUAUUUAGGUUACAAUAGCUAGUUGGGAUUAACUUUUAGAUUAUUUUAACUACUUUUGAUGAAUUGAACAUGCAUGU
rnacentral:lncRNA from 1 species